GCGUUUCACAGAAAAAUUUACUAUCCAAGAAUGCAAGAAUAUGAUUUUAUGGAGACGAUGACCCACAUGAACGUCUACGGAUCAUAAGUGGGAAAUGGAGGUGAUCAAAUUUGAAGGGUCGCUACAAGUCAAUUUGAUCUUAUUGAAGUGGAUGAUGAAGAUUUUUUGAACUAUUGUAAAAGUUUGAAUACAUUAUGUUUGAUUUUGUGAAAUAUUUUCUUUGCUAGAAUAUAUUGAACUAUUGUAAGAGCACUUUUUGAACAAUUGUGUACACAUAUUUACAAUA